GCCCUGUCGGCGAGGUCGAGCGAGAGCGUGCAAGUCGGGACCCGAAAGAUGGUGAACUAUGCCUGAGGAGGUUGAAGCCAGAGGAAACUCUGGUGGAGGACCGUAGCGAUUCUGACGUGCAAAUCGAUCGUCAAAUUUGGGUAUAGGGGCGAAAGACUAAUCGAACCGUCUAGUAGCUGGUUCCCUUCGAAGUUUCCCUCAGGAUAGCUGGCGCUCUGUCGCAGUUUUAUCUGGUAAAGCGAAUGAUUAGAGGUCUUGGGGGCGAAACGCCCUCAACCUAUUCUCAAACUUUAAAUUGGUAAGAAGCCCGACUCGCUCGUUUGGAGCCGGGCAUGGAAUGCGAGUGCCAAGUGGGCCACUCUUGGUAAGCAGGACUGGCGAUGCGGGAUGAACCGAACGCCGGGUUAAGGCGCCCGACGCGACGCUCAUCAGAGCCCACAAAAGGUGUUGGUUGAUAUAGACAGCAGGACGGUGGCCAUGGAAGUCGGAAACCGCUAAGGAGUGUGUAACAACUCACCUGCCGAAUCAAUCAGCCCUGAAAAUGGAUGGCGCUGGAGCGUCGGGCCUAUACCCGGCCGUCGCGGCGGUACGAGCAUCGAGUUGGUGCGCUAGGCCGCGACGAGUAGGAUUGCCGCGGCGGCGGGCGUACAAUCUAGGGCGCGAGCCCGGGU
rnacentral:ncRNA from 1 species